CUGAGGACUACUCCCAGGACCACACCACAGGCACAACUGCCUCAGAUCCACUCCAAAAUGAAGUUUACGCUGCUAUUCCUGAUGUUGCUGCUGGCUGUGUCAGCUGUCCUCGCAGAUCCAGCGCCUGGCUUCGGCAAGAAAGGUGGUGGUUUUGGCAAGAAAGGUGGUGGCUAUGCUCCUCGCCCCGUCUACCAGCCGGUCUACUACGGAUAUCCAUGCUAUGGCUAUGGACGAUAGACUUGUUCCGCCCACAUGAUUGAUAAAAACUUACAUUGUAAUGAAAAAAAAAUACUGCUUAUAUUAUAAAUAUUCAAACAUGAUACAAAAAAGAAAAAAAAUCACCAACUCGAACUCACUGAGUAAAACCAAAAUAUCGUACAGCGGGAGACUACGAACUGAUCAGUAAUGUUCGCUAUAUCUGGAAGACCUUCCCCAAGCACUAUUAAAAACUAUUAUAAAAACAUUUCCCCUGUGACUUCUUCAUUACUCACAGUGUAACUCUUACACGACAAAUGAUGUAUGAUAACGCCAAGAAUACGAAACAAUGAAUGCCAUUCAAUCAAAUGAAAUUCACUGGCGCAUGUGAUUGUACAGGUAGAAGAUUGUGUGGUAUAAACCGUGAUAAUAGAUUCCGACAGGUAUUUACAAAAUUUGAAAAAAACAUUAGCUUUCUUGACACUCAGUCAGGCAAAGCAGCACAUACCCAGCAACAUAGGAAUCACAUGACCACAUUAUCUACCCGUCCUCAACCCAAUAUGACAUUCUUCAGUCCACCAUGUACCACUUACACCUCACUCCCCGCCUAUAUAUACUGUCUUUGUAACCUCUGUAUGUUAGAAGUGAUCAAGGUCCCAGGACCGAAACGUUUUCUAAUAAAUAUGCCCUUAUAUUU